UACAGAGGAUGCAAGCGUUAUCCGGAAUGAUUGGGCGUAAAGCGUCCGCAGGUGGUUUUGUAUGUCUGCUGUUAAAGAGUGCAGCUUAACUGCAUAAAGGCGGUGGAAACUACAAGACUAGAGUACGUUCGGGGCAGAGGGAAUUCCCAGUGUAGCGGUGAAAUGCGUAGAGAUUGGGAAGAACACCGGUGGCGAAAGCGCUCUGCUAGGCCUGUACUGACACUGAGGGACGAAAGCUAGGGGAGCGAAUGGG
rnacentral:rRNA from 1 species